AAAGCGUGGGUAGCAAACAGGAUUAGAUACCCUGGUAGUCCACGCCCUAAACGAUGUCAACUGGUUGUUGGGGGAGUGAAAUCCCUUAGUAACGAAGCUAACGCGUGAAGUUGACCGCCUGGGGAGUACGGUCGCAAGAUUAAAACUCAAAGGAAUUGACGGGGACCCGCACAAGCGGUGGAUGAUGUGGAUUAAUUCGAUGCAACGCGAAAAACCUUACCUACCCUUGACAUGUCCGGAAUCCUGCUGAGAGGUGGGAGUGCCCGAAAGGGAAUCGGAACACAGGUGCUGCAUGGCUGUCGUCAGCUCGUGUCGUGAGAUGUUGGGUUAAGUCCCGCAACGAGCGCAACCCUUAUCAUUAGUUGCUACGCAAGGGCACUCUAAUGAGACUGCCGGUGACAAACCGGAGGAAGGUGGGGAUGACGUCAAGUCCUCAUGGCCCUUAUGGGUAGGGCUUCACACGUCAUACAAUGGUCGGUACAGAGGGUUGCCAAGCCGCGAGGCGGAGCCAAUCCCAGAAAGCCGAUCGUAGUCCGGAUUGUUCUCUGCAACUCGAGAGCAUGAAGUCGGAAUCGCUAGUAAUCGCGGAUCAGCAUGUCGCGGUGAAUACGUUCCCGGGUCUUGUACACACCGCCCGUCACACCAUGGGAGUGGAAUCUGGCAGAAGUAGGUAGCCUAACCGCAAGGAGGGCGCUUACCACGCUGGGUUUCAUGACUGGGGUGAAGUCGUAACAAGGUAGCCGUAGGGGAACCUGCGGCUGGAUCACCUCCUU
rnacentral:rRNA from 1 species